rnacentral:rRNA from 1 species
UUCCACCUCUUCCCAUUCCGAACAGAGAAGUUAAGCCCGGCCGCGCCGAUGGUACUGCCAAGGUGGGAGAGUAGGUAGCCGCCGCUU